rnacentral:rRNA from 1 species
UGCACGUCGAGCGGAUGUAGUGUGAGCUUGCUCCAUGUAUUCAGCGGCGGACGGGUGAGUAAUGCCUAGGAAUCUGCCCGGUAGUGGGGGAUAACGUUCCGAAAGGAACGCUAAUACCGCAUACGUCCUACGGGAGAAAGCAGGGGACCUUCGGGCCUUGCGCUAUCGGAUGAGCCUAGGUCGGAUUAGCUAGUUGGUGAGGUAAUGGCUCACCAAGGCGACGAUCCGUAACUGGUCUGAGAGGAUGAUCAGUCACACUGGAACUGAGACACGGUCCAGACUCCUACGGGAGGCAGCAGUGGGGAAUAUUGGACAAUGGGCGAAAGCCUGAUCCAGCCAUGCCGCGUGUGUGAAGAAGGUCUUCGGAUUGUAAAGCACUUUAAGUUGGGAGGAAGGGUUGUACGUUAAUACCGUGCAAUUUUGACGUUACCGACAGAAUAAGCACCGGCUAACUUCGUGCCAGCAGCCGCGGUAAUACGAAGGGUGCAAGCGUUAAUCGGAAUUACUGGGCGUAAAGCGCGCGUAGGUGGUUCGUUAAGUUGGAUGUGAAAGCCCCGGGCUCAACCUGGGAACUGCAUCCAAAACUGGCGAGCUAGAGUACGGUAGAGGGUGGUGGAAUUUCCUGUGUAGCGGUGAAAUGCGUAGAUAUAGGAAGGAACACCAGUGGCGAAGGCGACCACCUGGACUGAUACUGACACUGAGGUGCGAAAGCGUGGGGAGCAAACAGGAUUAGAUACCCUGGUAGUCCACGCCGUAAACGAUGUCAACUAGCCGUUGGGAUCCUUGAGAUCUUAGUGGCCGCAGCUAACGCAUUAAGUUGACCGCCUGGGGAGUACGGCCGCAGGUUUAAAACUCAAAUGAAUUUGACGGGGGGGCCGGCACAGGCGUGGAAGCAUGUUGAUUAAUUUCGAA